rnacentral:rRNA from 1 species
GAUGCAGCGACGCCGCGUGAGGGAUGACGGCCUUCGGGUUGUAAACCUCUUUCACCUCCGACGAAGCGUGAGUGACGGUAGGAGGAGAAGAAGCACCGGCCAACUACGUGCCAGCAGCCGCGGUAAUACGUAGGGUGCGAGCGUUGUCCGGAAUUACUGGGCGUAAAGAGCUCGUAGGUGGUUUGUCGCGUUGUUCGUGAAAACUCACAGCUUAACUGUGGGCGUGCGGGCGAUACGGGCAGACUGGAGUACUGCAGGGGAGACUGGAAUUCCUGGUGUAGCGGUGGAAUGCGCAGAUAUCAGGAGGAACACCGGUGGCGAAGGCGGGUCUCUGGGCAGUAACUGACGCUGAGGAGCGAAAGCGUGGGGAGCGAACAGGAUUAGAUACCCUGGUAGUCCACGCCGUAAACGGUGGGUACUAGGUGUGGGUUUCCUUCCUUGGGAUCCGUGCCGUAGCUAACGCAUUAAGUACCCCGCCUGGGGAGUACGGCCGCAAGGCUAAAACUCAAAGAAAUUGACGGGGGCCCGCACAAGCGGCGGAGCAUGUGGAUUAAUUCGAUGCAACGCGAAGAACCUUACCUGGGUUUGACAUGCACAGGACGCCGGCAGAGAUGUCGGUUCCCUUGUGGCCUGUGUGCAGGUGGUGCAUGGCUGUCGUCAGCUCGUGUCGUGAGAUGUUGGGUUAAGUCCCGCAACGAGCGCAACCCUUGUCUCAUGUUGCCAGCACGUUAUGGUGGGGACUCGUGA